rnacentral:rRNA from 1 species
UACGUAGGGGGCAAGCGUUGUCCGGAAUCAUUGGGCGUAAAGCGCGUGUAGGCGGCUCGGGUAGUCUGGUGUGAAAUCUUUCGGCUCAACCGGAAGCGGUCACUGGAUACUCUCGGGCUUGAGUCCGGAAGAGGAGAGCGGAAUUCCUAGUGUAGCGGUGAAAUGCGCAGAUAUCAGGAGGAACACCGAUGGCGAAGGCAGGUCUCUGGGCCACUACUGACGCUGAGAAGCGAAAGCAUGGGGAGCGAACAGG